GAUCUAGCUUGCUAGAUGCUGACGAGCGGCGGACGGGUGAGUAACGCAUAGGAAACUGCCCAGUAGUGGGGGAUAGCCCGGGGAAACCCGGAUUAAUACCGCAUACGUCCUUCGGGAGAAAGCAGGGGAUCUUCGGACCUUGCGCUAUUGGAUGUGCCUAUGUCGGAUUAGCUAGUUGGUGGGGUAAGAGCCUACCAAGGCGACGAUCCGUAGCUGGUCUGAGAGGAUGAUCAGCCACAUCGGGACUGAGACACGGCCCGAACUCCUACGGGAGGCAGCAGUGGGGAAUAUUGGACAAUGGGGGCAACCCUGAUCCAGCCAUGCCGCGUGUGUGAAGAAGGCUUUCGGGUUGUAAAGCACUUUCAGUGAGGAGGAAAAGUUAGUCCCUAAUACGGGCUAGCCUUGACGUUACUCACAGAAGAAGCACCGGCUAACUCCGUGCCAGCAGCCGCGGUAAUACGGAGGGUGCAAGCGUUAAUCGGAAUUACUGGGCGUAAAGCGCGCGUAGGUGGUUUGAUAAGCGAGAUGUG
rnacentral:rRNA from 1 species